AACCUCAUAUACCUCCGAGCCAGUGGGCCUAAGGUUUUAAGGCUAUGGCCGCUGGCCUCCUGCCUGCUUGCCAGGCAGCGACGGGGUAGGCGGGGAAACCUGCCUGCCUCCCGGAAUGGGAAAGGAGUUUUUAGUAACUUCAG
rnacentral:ncRNA from 1 species